rnacentral:rRNA from 1 species
CAGUCGCCGCGGUAAAACGUAGGGCGCAAGCGUUAUCCGGAAUUAUUGGGCGUAAAGAGCUCGUAGGCGGUUUGUCGCGUCUGCCUUGAAAGUCCGGGGCUCAACCCCGGAUCUGCGGUGGGUACGGGCAGACUAGAGUGAUGUAGGGGAGACUGGAAUUCCUGGUGUAGCGGUGAAAUGCGUAGAUAUCAGGAGGAACACCGAUGGCGAAGGCAGGUCUCUGGGCAUUAACUGACGCUGAGGAGCGAAAGCAUGGGGAGCGAACAGGAUUAGAUACCCCGGUAGUCCCUGUCUCUUAUAC